AUGAAUAUAAUUAUAGGUGCCUUUGAUAAAUUGAGUUUUAUGAAUAAGAAUGAUAAAAUUUCUAAUAAACAUUAUUAACAUGAUUAGCUGAAUAAUAUAUGUUCAUUUAAUGUUCAAUAAGUUCAACUUUGUUAUUAUUUCAUUCAUUUGGUUUAGAAGAGUUUAUAGUUUUAAGGAUUGUGUGAAUUUAUAAUGUUAGGGAUGGAUUUAAAAUGUGAUGAAUAUAUAAAAUUUACGUGGAUAUAUAAUAUUUAAAUGAAUGGAUUUAAUAAGGACAAGUUUGAAAAUAAUGUGGAUGUAAAUAGUAUUUUUUAAAAAUUUUAAAAUUUUAUUAGGGAUAAUUUAGAGGGGGGAUUUACUUGGAAAAAUCGUUGAUGGAAAUAACUGUACCCAUGGAUUUUCCUAUGAGACAACAAGGGUUCUCCAAAUCGAUUCUUUUUCCUACAUGAUUUCUGAUUUUUUGUUGAGUAUUUCUUUGUUGUUGCAUUUUUUGAGGUAUUUACUUUAGGAUUUGUUUGUUUCUUCUGUGACUUUAUUUUUAUGUAAGAAGAUCUAAGUUUUGAAUCGAAGGUUUCGGGAAGAAGGGAUUUUCUGCGAGAAAGCAAAAGGGUUAGCAAGUGUACUCCACAUCAGUUAUUUUUCUACAUGAUUUUUUAUUUUGUUGGAUACUUUUCUUCGUUGUUGCAGUUCUUGAGGUACUUUGUUCAAGAUUUAAUUUUCUCACAAUUUUCAUAAUUUCUCUUUUCGUUGUCUAUACAGAAUCAUUUGACGGGAUUGAUAUUAUAUUUGUAGAUAUUAUGUUCUCACUAACCGUGUUUGUCGAAGUAUUCUUAUCCAAAAUGAGAGUUGAUCAUUUAUUUUUUUCUGAUUUGUAAAAAAAUGUUAUUUAUAAUGUUUUGGAAAAAAAAUAUAAGGUGCUAAAAAAUUGCUGCUAUUGAAUAGUUUCUUUGUUCUAGAAGUUUUAAACCUCAGUUUAUGAUGUAUUUGCCCAAAACAGAAAGAAAAAAUAUGGCACAUGAAACCUAUAACUUCACCACGAGCCAGACCCAUUUGUGUUUCAUCUUAACCUUCAAAACGAGCUUAGGAAAUGCCAUUUAAGCUUCAGCCUUUUUGAUUAAUUUUCUCCUUUAAACUCUCUUAGCAUUUGAGCAAAAAAUUCUUUGUUGCUCUUAUAGAACCUAGAGUUGAAACAGAGAUCGAGGUUACUAUUUCAAGGGUCGGUCCUUGUUAUGAAAGACCUCAAGUCUAGCUACAUUUGGAUUCCUCUUCGACAGAAUUGGUAAGUACUCUAUAUUAAUGCAUAUAUGAAACUUUAUCACAUACUCUGCAAGCGACGUGUGGAAUGCCACAUUCAUGUGUACCCUAGAUUCAUAGUUAUUUGGGAGAAACUUUUACACGUCCUAAAGAACAUGCUCUAAACUUUUGUUUUGGAUAUUUAUAUUAUUGUAGAAUAAAGGCCAGACUACUGAAGAUACUGUGUUAUGACUAUGAGGUUCUCUUUUCUUUCUUCCUAUACCUCAUCUUUCUGUUACAAGAGGGGAAGAGGAUGCUGAUUUUCUUUUAUAAAAACUUGUAAUUUUUGACUUUGACUUGGAUAGUUACAUAUUUAUGUGUAUGAAGAUAUCUGGUCUGCACUAGAACAAAGCAUUUGAUAUUUUUUGUUUUACAUUUAGUACACUAUGAGUGCAAAUCAUUGUCUAAUUUUUCUGAAUAUCAAGACAAACACCUCAGAUGUGCUGGAUACUGUGCAACGAUGUCUAACCUCAUAAUUGCCUAUUUGGAAGUUCAUACGCAUGCUGCAAUUCAUUUGAUAUCAUUAAUACAUAUAUUCAUGAUCUUAUGAUGUAUGAAUGUGGAAUGAAUGAUCGCUUGAUAAUUGUUUUUACAUGCAUGUCUCUCUAUAGCUGUCAUUUAUUUUAGUUUGAUUGUGUUUUGUUGUCUUUUGACUAGGGGAUUUUGAAAGUCAUUGUGAACAAGCUAUUGAGUUAAAGUCUUAGUAAUUGCUUGCUCUUAAUUCUUUCCUUUAAUUUAGUUUGUUUACUAUACUUUCAUUUUCAAUAUUACAGCACUAAAUGUUAAAGCUACAUUAUUAUAAGGACAAUGUAGUUACCUCAGAAAGUAUGCUAGAGAUUCUAUGCAAUAGAAUUUUGCCUUGUAACUUAAGUCAGUGCCUAAAAAUUAAAGGUAAAACAUGUACUCUUUUCUCUUAACAAGUAAGAAAGUCAAACUAUAGAUCAAUCAUGUAACUAAACAAACUUGCCUCUAAAUAAAUGUGUAUAUGUGGAGUGUUAGAAGGGUGUACAAGCCUAUAAUAAAGAGUGGUUUACAUGUUUGCAUUGCUAAUUUACUAAUGCCUUUGAACUUUAUUCAAGUUUUUGAGUUAACAUUUGAGAUUUCAAUGUGGUGCAUUUGUGUUAACAUUUACAUGAGGUAUAAGUGUUAGAAGGGUUGUAUUGAUGCUACCAUUAUAGGAGAACCUGCUGAGAAGUUCUUACAAUGCUCUGCGCUUAUACUUAUGAAACAACUCUGAUACCUACCUCAAACAUAUUUUUAAAUUAUUAUGCUAUCAUAUAUUCAUUUACAUUGCUAAUUCUAGUAUUCCUAUUUCUGCAUGACAAAAACAAACCUCUCAGAAUGAAUCCAUACCUCAACAAAUGAAGAUCUAUUCUUCUAUGUAAAAGCUGUAAAAUAAAAAAAUGGAUAUGAAUACAAGUACGAAGUCAGCUCACUGUAGAUACAUCUUCAACAACAUGAAAGUUCACAUGUAAGCAUUGAUGGAAGCACAUUUCUAACUCCAUUUGUUGAAUCACUACACUUGAUGCAACAUGAUUCUAAUGAAUCAUCAGCUCGAAGGGUAAUAUUCUCAACUUCUAGUUCUUCACAUUCCCAAAACAAAGAAGAUGAAAGAAAAAUAGUGGUUAAGGCAAAGGCAUUGCAGUGAAUGAAUCAAUUGAUGAGAAUUUUGAAUGAUGCAGAAUGUUAAGCAUUGGAGAAGUUAUGCAAGUUAGAAAUGGUUUUUGUUUCUUCGUCUCUUUCCAGUUAGAACUGCAAGAUGUAGCAACAAAUAGAUCCUAGAAUUUGCAUAUGAAAUUUAAAAUAUCACUUGUAUUUCAAGCUACUCAUGAAGUAGUUAUUCAGCUAAACAUUGUAGUUUGGGUCUAUAACUGUUCUACAUUCAGACUUUGAUAUUCUGGUUAGUUAAAUGAAAUUGUGUGAUGGUUUUUGGAUCGUUAUUAUCUUUUUGGUUGAUGUUUGUGUACGCCUGUCUCCAUUGUGUAGAUUGUACAGCUUCUCAUUGAUAAGAAUAGGAGACUUGAAAAAUAGCUUCUUACGAUUACUCUAAGCCUAUGUUUGUUUCCCAUUGUUUGGCCAUUAAAAAAAAAAAAUGUGAUCGUUAUUCAUCACAUUAAGUCACCAUAUUUGAAUUUCUAUCUUUUGUGUGGGGUCUGUAAUGAUUAUAUUUUUCAUUCUCAUUUUUACAUUAAUGGAAAACAAACAGGGUCUAAAUGUUGCUAACAUUUCAAUCCAGUUGAAUUAUUUGUAGCCUAGGUGAGGAUUUCCCUAUGAAAAAUCAAGAUGAUAGAAUUUUUUGAUUUUUCAAUAUUAGAACAUUUUUGGUGCAAUGGUUGCUUUAGUUAAUAUAUUCGAAGAAUGACUUGUUCAAAACAACCUGGAAAAUUUAGACUCAUUUGAUGUUAAUCUAUUGCCGUUAAAAAAAAUAAAAAUAUAAAGUUUUAUAAAUUGUGUAUUGUAGAGAUGAGUAUAUCUUACAAAAUGUGCAAUACAUUUAAAAAUAACAUUGACCAAAUUUGCAUAUACUUAUUUUUAACACUAAUCAAGUUAAUUCCACUAGUCAUUUAAAAAAAAAAAAAAAAAAAAAAAAACUCUCCGAUUGUGUGAAUGUGUUGCUGAAAAUAAGUGUAGAAAAUGCAUCAAUUUUCUUGUUUGAGUUGUCUCAGUCUUGUCAAGAAUUGUGAUUUUGACAAUUUGAUAGUGAGACAAGUGUUGGAAUUUUUCGCAAUGGAUGUAAUGAUUUUCGUCCUCUAUUAUUCAUGCAUAUUAAUAUCACCAAGGUACGAGCUGUAACUUACCAUGCUCAUUCUUCAAAAUGUUCUUCUCCUUUGAUUAUCAUAGAAUAUAUAGGGAAAGGCAGGGGAGUAUUUGAGGGACAAAAUAUUGGUAUUAUGAAUAUAUUGAUUUAUUAAAUUAUUAUUAUUAUUAUUAUUUUUUGUGUAUACGUAAUUACAGAAAAUUUUGAAAAUGUUGAAGGCAGUUGUCACCUCCACCACUAGUUAUAAAGUUUGCUAUAACCCGCGAUUUAGGAUUUAAUCUAGUGUAAGUUGGAAUAUCUGAAUAUAAAAAAAAAAAAAAAAAAAGUUUGUUAUUGUUUUGGCUCUGACAUCAUGAAAAUGAUUGAUGCAUUAGCUUUCCUUUGUGCUUAGUUUGGGGAGAAUAUGUGUGCUUCCAAGCUUGUACUUUACCUCAUGCUUUGUUUGGACAUUGACUCGGAAAAACGAAAAAGUCGAGGGUUAAUGGGUUGAACUGAAUAGCUAAAAAAAGACAAAUAAAUAUAUUUCAAAUAGUAUGUAAUAAUGGAUAAUAGUACAAUAUUGUUAAUUGAAAUAUUUGAAGAGUAUUCUAAUUUUUUGUUAAUUAAAAUAAGAUAAAAAUAAUUAAUUAAUUCAAUUAAAUAUUUUUUAAUAAAAAAGAGAGGUUGAGAGAAGAGAAUUGUAAUUAGACAGAAAUAAACAUUAAUGACUAUGACUACAAAAAUCAAAAAUCAAAAAUCAAAAAUCAAAAUAAUUGCAGCUGAGAUUUGUCUACAGCCAUAGACGUGUGCUUUUGGUUUGUCCCACAUCGAAUUCACACUGGAAAAUCACUGGAAAUUGAUUCUAUAAACGGGUGGGCCACUGGAGGCUCACAACUUUUAGGACCCUUUACAUCGAAAGGCUGAAAGUUGAAAAAUUUAGGGGGUGUUCUCUUUGUAUUUGAGUUUUAAAUUCAUUUUGAGUUUUGUGUUUUUGAGUGUUUGUUUUGAAAUUGUUGAAAAUGCGUUCUUUUUGUUAGUUUCUCAAAACAAAAAAAAUGGAAUUUUUUUUUUGAAAUUUUGAGAAUCACCACAAGAUCACCUCCAAAAAAAAAAAAAAAAAAAAUUACACUAAAAAUGUGUAAUUGUCGGUCCUGACGGAAGGUUUCUGUCAUUACUGACAGUUGGUUGCAAACUUGACUACAAAUAAAAUGCAAAAGGAUAUGCUAUUGUACAACAUUCUGUACAGAUGUUGCCGUAUGAAUCCAUGACAAAACUACAAUAAAUAAUUAUAGCCGAUGACGUACGCAAAUUUUGUCCAUAUCAAUGGUCGUCGAAUUCUUAGAGAUACAUAAGCACAAAUAUAUGCAACCACCAAAGUAUGUUUAUAAUCAAAUUCUUGGAGAAUUGUCCUUACUAUGAUCAUUUUAUAUACAACUAUCAUAUAGUGUUUAUCAUAGUAUUAACAAAUUUCCUGGGACAUUAAUACUUGAUUUCUUUCUCCUCCCCUUAAUCUAUGGAGCCCUGGUAGAUGCUGUAGGAAAACAAACGCGCGUCGAUUGCAACCUCUUUGUGUUAACUACAUUGUCUUCUUCAAUGUGUAUGGUGGCUACUACAGUAUGUCAGGGACAUUGCCUACGCAAAAGUAGUAUGACCAAAUUACUUAUCUAAAACGUCAAAUAAUAACAUAACAUAGCCUACCAACAUCUAAUUAUUUGCUCGACUACCUAAAAUCAAUAUUACGAAUCCUUCUUUAGGAACUUACCUUCAGAUUGGACCAUAGCGUUAGAAGAGGGAAGUGUAUUUUCCUCUAUGGCGUCAUCCAAAAUUGUUGUAUCAUUUAUAUUUAAGUCAUGAGAAGACAUUUAACAUUAGUUUUUAACUUAACAUGCUUAUAAUAUAUAAUUAGAAUUUAACUUAAUAUAAUUUCUUCGAUAUAAAACUUACCGUUCGCCUCCAUCAUGUCACAACCCAAGGGAACUUCUUCUUUGUCCGGGCAUGACACUUAGGGCCCUAUGCCUUAUUCAUCUAGUUGAAAACAAUAUUUGAAAUAGUAAUGUACAUGUCAUCGAAUCUAGUUUGUAGACUAGGGAAUAAGAUGAGAGUAUUAAAAUUUCGAAUUCCUCAUAAUCAGCAUACAUACCAUUUUCCUCCUUGUUUCCCCUAGGCAAUGGACCCUCCUAGUCAUUCGAGGCACACACCUUCCAACUCUAUACCUCUUUCAUUUUCAGAAAAGAGGAAUUUAAAAUUCAUUUGCAAAAAUAUAGAAAAAAUGUCAUAUCAUAAUAAUCGAUACAUGUUAAUGCGACACACAUGUAAGAAAUCGAAAUCACACACGUGCAAUGUUCGGAUGAGCCAAAGUUGGACAUAUAGACAGAUGACUACCAAACUGAUUUGUUGAGAAGUUGUCAUAUGUUGAGAAAUACCACCUUUAACUGUCGAGAAUGAUAGUUCAUCUGUCAAGGGCAACAAUUCAUAUCGACAAAUGAUUCAACUCAUCUGUUGUAUUUAGUUAUCUGUCGAGAAUAACUGAAACAAACUAUUAAGAACGACAGUUCAUCGCAAGAGAUAGGUCAUAUUACUAAUCUGUGGAGUAGUCAUCGAUCGAAAAUUCAUAACUGUCGAGACUUUCAUUUUAUCAAAUUAAACAGUUUACUUAAAAUAUUAUAACAUAGAGGACAAUACGAUAAGAUAUCUCAGGUGUAUAUAAAUUGUAAAAUCAACACUCCUAGGUGCAAGAUAAGGAAAUGACAAACUAAACCGUCCAGGUAUGUACCUUUCGGGUCGAUACCUUGAUACGUAACGACACUUUUCUUAAAAAUGAAAGUAGUUAUAAGAAAUAAAUUCAUAGAUAACUUAUAUAAAUAUUAAUGUUACAUUUUUCAUAAAUAGAAAAGUAGACAAUAAAAAUCGAAAAAAAUGGGGCAUAUUGUAUCAAUCUAGGGCAAAAAAUGCAAACAAUAAAAAAACAAAUACAAAUGUGAAGAAUCAGAAGAGAAGAGAGCAAAAAAUGCAAAAAGAAAGAAAAAACAAACAUCAAGAGAUUAAUGAUAGUCUUCGUUCGCGGUGGGCUAAUUAAUAGGUCGUCAACGUCAUGGGCAUUUGAUGAUUCAAAUAAGAGAGAAGGGAGUGAACUUAGGGUUAGUGAGUGUUUGAAUGAUAAAUUGAGUUGUAUUUUGUUUUUGUUUCACUUUUUUUUUUAUUUGAAAGUUGAGUUAUUUGAUGUGACAUUUUUUAGUUUUUGUACAAUUUUUCAUAGAAUCAAAUCCCAUUUAAUGAAGGACAUGUAGGGUGAUUAAAUUAUUUAGAGGGGCAAAAAUGUUCAAAAUUAACAAUCUUAUAAAGACUUUAAGAAAAAAAUGAUAUUUUUGAAAAUGCAAAGUCAACCAAAAAUUGACAUAUAGCACAAUUUCCUCUAAAAUAUGAGCUAUCGUGACUUGUGGGUAAAGCAAAUGAUGUAGUAUCGAGUACAAGUAACACUUUGCACCAAACAUCACAUGCACUUUCAAGCAUGUUGUACGAGGCUAAAAGCUACAUGAACAAUUUACUCUUGAAAAAAAAAUACUAAUACGUACAUGCACUGUUACCAAUGUCGACCAUUAUUGAUCAUUGUUUCAAACCUUGUCAUCUCACAGUUUAACUCUCAAGCUUUAAUGUUUCGGUCUUAUUUGAGCCUUUUUUCACAAGUUUGCCUUCGAAUGGCCUUCAAAUUAUAUAUAUAUAUAUAAACGACAACUUUACUAUCAAGUUAUACAUAUAUAGGAAGUGUUUGAUAGACAUUCUUAUGUAAAAAUGCAUUUUAGAAAGCAGUAAAUUGAUGUGAAAUGUAUGAUUGAAAUAAGGAAAAGUUUUAAUUGACGUGUAAUAUUAUUUUAAUAAAUAAUGUGUGGUUGAAAAUAAGAGAAGGAAAAAUGCAUUUUGAAAAACAUGGCUAUCAAACGGGCCAUAAUAAGAAAAAUGGAUUGUGAAUUGUGCAUGGAUGUGGCAUAAAUUUAUCGCUUUUGUAAUCCUUAUAUGGUUUUGGCCUAUACAAUAAAUUGAAGCAAGGAGUGUAUACAGACAAGAAAAGCUUCCUACACGAAAAGGACUUCAAGUGGCAAAACCAAUGUAAUUGGUGCAUCUCUAAUAUUUCAACUUGACUGGGUAAAUUGUUGUGGACUUGUUUAUCAAGAUUUUUUGUUGAUUACGUGGCGAAAUCAACCCAACUUUUCCUGUGAAUCUAUUAUAAGAAGUGAGUCUUGCAAAAUGAACGUAGGGUUACUGCUUGUGACCUUUGAAAAGGAUGGACUACAGUGACAGAAGACUUUCUGUUGCUUGAUGCUUAAGUCAAUAAAGCGUCAAUCAAUCAAAGUAAAUAGAAAGAAAGGGUUUGAUAGUAACUUAUUGAAGGUUUGCUUGACAUAGAUAAUUUUUUAAAGGGUUUUGUUUGAUGAACAUCGAGGAGUUUCUUCACAAAAGAAGUAUUUUUUGGCAAUUUUUUUCAAGGUGGGCCCCAUAUUAUGAGAAUAUUCUGACAAUUUUCUGUGAAACUUUUUUCUCUAAAAAUGGAUUAAUCCUUUUUUGAAAAAUUAAUUUGCAAACACAUAUCAUAACUUUUUUCCACUUUUAACUAUAUAUUUUCAUUUUUUUUCCCACAUGAAAACAAUGUACCGAACAAGUUUUAUUGUCACAAGUUUUGAAGUAUUUAUGAAAACUUGGGAUUAACGUCGCUUUAAGGCCUCGUUUAGUAUCCAUUUUUUUCAAAAUGUAUUUUUCUCUCUCUUCUUUUCAAUCACAUAUUUUUCAUUAAAAUAAUAUUACGCGUAAAUAAAAAAAAUUUCUUUAUUUUUUAAUCACACAUUUUUCAUCAAUUUAAUAUUUCAAAAUAUAUUUUUAUGGCUACCAAGUACCAUCUAAAGAUUCAUAUCUAUCUACACGUACAAAAGAGCCUAAAGAAAAAGCAGGACGCGUGUCGACCGGGCCUAUCGUCUAUGCCUUUUCUUUUGCCUUCUAUUGGAAACGACGUCGUAUGGUUCCUUUUGUUUUGUUCCCCUGUGUUCGCCCGUGCAUGGAAGAAACCUAUUUCUUUAUUUCCGUUCCAUUUGCUUCGCUCGUCAGAGGAAAUUCGAGAGUUUUCCCGACUUCGAACGAGGUAGUCUCACGCAAAUCAUUUACUUUUAGUUUUAAUCUACAAAAGGAAGGAUAUUGGCUCAAAGGGUCUGGGAAGAGUGGAUUUGGGAAGUUCUAUUUCUAUUCACGCUUCUUAUAAGUAUAUUCAGUUUUAAAAAUAAAAUUUUAAUAUAUUUUAAAUCCUAUAUAACUUUACUUAAAUAAACAUAAACAGAAUUAAAUAAAAAUAUAUAACUCUAAAUUGAUCCACAAAUUUUUAUUUCUAUUAACUUAUUCUAAAUUUUUUUUUAUUCUUUUAGAAUUUAUGUUUAAUUAGAAUCUUAAUAGAUUAGAAAAAAUUACAUGAAUAUAAUUAUAGGUGCCUUUGAUAAAUUGAGUUUUAUGAAUAAGAAUGAUAAAAUUUCUAAUAAACAUUAUUAACAUGAUUAGCUGAAUAAUAUAUGUUCAUUUAAUGUUCAAUAAGUUCAACUUUGUUAUUAUUUCAUUCAUUUGGUUUAGAAGAGUUUAUAGUUUUAAGGAUUGUGUGAAUUUAUAAUGUUAGGGAUGUAUUUAAAAUGUGAUGAAUAUAUAAAAUUUACGUAGAUAUAUAAUAUUUAAAUGAAUGGAUUUAAUAAGGACAAGUUUAAAAAUAAUGUGGAUGUAAAUAGUAUUUUUUAAAAAUUUUAAAAUUUUAUUAGGGAUAAUUUAGAGGGGGGAUUUACUUGGAAAAAUCGUUGAUGGAAAUAACUGUACCCAUGGAUUUUCCUAUGAGACAACAAGGGUUCUCCAAAUCGAUUCUUUUUCCUACAUGAUUUCUGAUUUUUUGUUGAGUAUUUCUUUGUUGUUGCAUUUUUUGAGGUAUUUACUUUAGGAUUUGUUUGUUUCUUCUGUUACUUUAUUUUUAUGUAAGAAGAUCUAAGUUUUGAAUCGAAGGUUUGGGGAAGAAGGGAUUUUCUGCGAGAAAGCAAACGGGUUAGCAAGUGUACUCCACAUCAGUUAUUUUUCUACAUGAUUUUUGAUUUUGUUGGAUAUUUUUCUUCGUUGUUGCAGUUCUUGAGGUACUUUGUUCAAGAUUUAUUUUUCUCACGAUUUUCAUAAUUUCUCUUUUCGUUGUCUAUACAGAAUCAUUUGACGGGAUUGAUAUUAUAUUUGUAGAUAUUAUGUUCUCACUAACCGUGUUUGUCGAAGUAUUCUUAUCCAAAAUGAGAGUUGAUCAUUUAUUUUUUUCUGAUUUGUAAAAAAAUGUUAUUUAUAAUGUUUUGGAAAAAAAAUAUAAGGUGCUAAAAAAUUGCUGCUAUUGAAUAGUUUCUUUGUUCUAGAAGUUUUAAACCUCAGUUUAUAAUGUAUUUGCCCAAAACAGAAAGAAAAAAUAUGGCACAUGAAACCUAUAACUUCACCACGAGCCAGACCCAUUUGUGUUUCAUCUUAACUGUCAAAACAAGCUUAGGAAAUGCCAUUUAAGCUUCAGCCUUUUUGAUUAAUUUUCUCCUUUAAACUCUCUUAGCAUUUGAGCAAAAAAUUCUUUGUUGCUCUUAUAGAACCCAGGGUUGAAACAGAGAUCAAGGUUACUAUUUCAAGGGUCGGUCCUUGUUAUGAAAGACCUCAAGUCUAGCUACAUUUGGAUUCCUCUUCGACAGAAUUGGUAAGUACUCUAUAUUAAUGCAUAUUUGAAACUUUAUCACAUACUCUGCAAGCGACGUGUGGAAUGCCACAUUCAUGUGUACCCUAGAUUCAUAGUUAUUUGGGAGAAACUUUUACACGUCCUAAAGAACAUGCUCUAAACUUUUGUUUUGGAUAUUUAUAUUAUUGUAGAAUAAAGGCCAGACUACUGAAGAUACUGUGUUAUGACUAUGAGGUUCUCUUUUCUUUCUUCCUACAACUCGUCUUUAUGUUACAAGAGGGGAAGAGGAUGCUGAUUUUCUUUUAUAAAAACUUGUUAUUUUUUUACUUUGGCUUGGAUAGUUACAUAUUUAUGUGUAUGAAGAUAUCUGGUCUGCACUUAGAACAAAGCAUUUGAUAUUUUUUGUUUUACAUUUAGUACACUAUGAGUGCAAAUCAUUGUCUAAUUUUUCUGAAUAUCAAGACAAACACCUCAGAUGUGCUGGAUACUGUGCAGAUUGAAACAUGUCUACAGUAGAUUAUUUCAUUGUUGUCGUGUUCAACGAUGUCUAACCUCAUAAUUGCCUAUUUGGAAGUUCAUACGCAUGCUGCAAUUCAUUUGAUAUCAUUAAUACAUAUAUUCAUGAUCUUAUGAUGUAUGAAUGUGGAAUGAAUGAUCGCUUGAUAAUUGUUUUUACAUGCAUGUCUCUCUAUAGCUGUCAUUUAUUUUAGUUUGAUUGUGUUUUGUUGUCUUUUGACUUGGGGAUUUUGAAAGUCAAUUGUGAACAAGCUAUUGAGUUAAAGUCUUAGUAAUUGCUUGCUCUUAAUUCUUUCCUUUAAUUUAGUUUACUUACUAUACUUUCAUUUUCAAUAUUACAGCACUAAAUGUUAAAGAUACAUUAUUAUAAGGACAAGGUAGUUACCUCAGAAAGUAUGCUAGAGAUUCUAUGCAAUAGAAAGUUAGAGCUAAAUUUUGCCUUGUAACUUAAGUCAGUGCCUAAAAAUUAAAGGUAAAACAUGUACUCUUUUCUCUUAACAAGUAAAAAAGUCCAACUAUAGAUCAAUCAUGUAACUAAACAAACUUGCCUCUAAAUAAAUGUGUAUAUGUGGAGUGUUAGAAGGGUGUACAAGCCUAUAAUAAAGUGUGGUUGACAUCUUUGCAUUGCUAAUUUACUAAUGCCUUUGAACUUUAUUCAAGUUUUUGAGUUAACAUUUGAGAUUUCAAUGUGGUGCAUUUGUGUUCUAUACCUCUCUCAUCUUUUACAUGAGGUAUAAACAACACAGUUUAAUUGAAGUUUAUGUGAAUUGAGAAACUGUAGAGCUAACAGUAACUUGCCUUUGAUGUCAUUCAAUUUUCAGCUGCUUCAAUUUUUAAUUAUUUCUCCCUUUACUUGAGGUGUAAGUGGCCUGGUUUAGUUAUCUAACAUAAGAAAGCUAUAAAAUGGCAGGGUAUUAUUUAGGCCCCGUUUGAGUCACAUUCUUUCGAAAAAAUAUAUUCUUAAACAGUGAUUUAACAUCAUUCCAAUCACACAUCAUUCAAUAAAAUGAUAUUACAUGCAAAUCCAAAAUUUUUCUUUAUUUUUUAACCACACAUUUAUUAUUAAUACACUAUUUAAAAACGCAUUCUUAUGAAAACAAUCUGGGUCAAACAAGGGCUUAUUAUUUAAUUGUUGGAGAAAAAUACUUUACAAAUGAUAUAUGAGAAGUAUGAUUAGGCUUUGCCAUUUUAAAUGUUAAAUCUACAAAUUCAGUUCAAUUUUCAAAUGUAAUCAUCUCUGUUUCUUAUUUUACUUGCUUCUUUAAUCACAUCUAAUACAAUGGUGGAUGCUAAUCUUCAAAAGCUGCAUGAGAUUGUAACCAAGAAUUGUUAUCAUACAUUGGCUUUCUCAAGAGUGUCCAUUCCAAAAGAAGACAAAAUAACUCAAAUUAGAAAUAUAGAAGGACUUUUGCUUGUGGUAAGUAACCUUAUUUUUAUAUUUUAUCUUCCUAAACUCUCAAAUAUUUUCCUUGGUGUUUAUUUUUAAACAUACAUAUUAUUAACUCAUCCUUAUUCUGUU
rnacentral:lncRNA from 1 species